UGUGUAAACUACUCCAGUAACUGUGUAGCACUGACGGCCUGCAAUAGACUGGCAACCUCUCCAGGGUGUAGUCUGCUCUUUCCCUUAUGACUACUGGGAUCGACUCCAGCCCAGCCAUGACCCUGAUGUGGAUAAGAAGAUGGAAGUUUUCUGUGGUAUAUUGUGAAUAAAAUAUGUGUUUAUCAAGAUCUA